rnacentral:lncRNA from 1 species
AUGAAGGGCAAAAUCCUCACACUGGCAUUUAAGUGCUUUCGCAGCAUGGUGCUCUGUUCGCUUGAGAUUGUGAUCUGCUACGGCCCUCAACUCCAGAGGUUUAUCACUAGUGACUGUUCACCCCAAACACACUUUGCUUAUGCCUUCCUCCAACAUCUGAGAUCGGAUGACUGUAGUUGUGUAUCUUUACUUCUGAGUUCUCUAUUUGAUUCCCUUAGUCUGUGUCUGUUUUUAUAUAGUACCAUGCUGUUUUGGUUACUGUAGCCUUACGGUAUAGUUUUAAGUGAGGUCAUAGGAUGUCUCUGUCUUUUUUAGUUUUGCUUAGAAUUGCUUUAGCUACUCUGGCUCUUUUUUGGUUCCAUAUACAUUUUAGAAUCUUUUUUUCCAGUUCUGUGAUGAAUAACAUUGGUAGCUUGAUAGGAAUAAUGCUGCAUCUGUACAAUGCUUUGGGCAGCAUGGCCAUUUUAACAACAUUUAUUCUUCCAAUCCAUGAGCAUAGAAUAUUCUCCCAUUUAUUUGUGUAAUCUAUGAUUUCUUUCAGCAGUGGUCUGCUACUCUUCAGUGUCAACAUAAUUAUCAUCACUUUUUGACAUUGGAAAACCGAGGAUAUAUAAUGUUAUUGGAAUUUAUACAGAUAACAAAUGGUCAAACCUUAUGCUGCUCAGUAUUGUUAUAUUUUCCAUUUGAGGAAAGAAGGAAUUUCUCUUAUAACAAUAAAUAUCUACAAUAAGCAAUCUACUAAUUUUAGCUUACUCAUUUCUAUGUGACAAAUUAGCAAGUCAUCUUGUAUGAUUAGGUUUAGUAGUUUCAUUAUUUUCUUCUUAUAUUUUUUUCUAAUUUUUCAUUUUGUACAGAGGGCUCCAUUGAGUUUUGCUGGAAAAAUGUAUUGCUUUAUUUUCUAUCAUUUGAUAGUCUGAGAAGGAUACUGUAAUAGUGGUUUUGUCAAGCUCAAAUGGAGUAGACUCAGGAGAUCUGCUGUUUAUAUGGAACUCAGAAACGUCACUUCCCAAGUUGUGAGUGGUGUUAAGACUAGGCAUAAAGUCUUCUGAUUUCUAGUCCAGUGGCCUUUUUACAUCAUAAUGCUACUUUUCACAUUGUAUGCCAAACUGCACAUUAUAUUAACAGAGAAGGCACUGAAAGGUCUUAAAUGCACAGAAAUGUUAUAAAUGGUGCCGUGAAUGAAGUAGAUUGCAUUUUUAUUGUAAUCAAUUGAGUCUAGAAACUUUCAAAUAACAUGUGAGUUUUAAUGCUAUAUGGGUCUGUGAGAGAAUAAUAAAGAACAAUUCUCGUUCUUAUUUCACUGGGGUUAGAGUGGAGCCCUUUUUGUCCCUUAAUUUCCCUAAUUAGUCUCAACUGUGUUCUCCCUCUAUGUUAGCAGGCCAAGACAGUAUCUGCUUUAUUGCCAUGGGAGGAAAACUUGCUCUUAUUGAGCUUUAUUAGAUACUCCAUUCUCUCAUUUAGAAUCCUAUUAAGUUUCCCCUUGGCAUUUUCUAAAUCAAUUAGUUUUAGCCUUACCCUUCUUAAUAGGCUCCUUUUGGGGGCUCCUAAUUUUAGUCCCUAACUCUGGUAUUUGUAGUUGCCUUUCCCUUUUCUUUUGGGCAAAGACUUCAAUCAAUUUUCCAUGCAAUACUGCUUUGCUAGCAUCCCACAGAGUCAUAUCUAUGACCUCACCAUUAUCACUGUCUGUUAAAUAUUCAGCCCAUAUGUCUUUGGGCUUUUCCCUAAACUAUUGCUGCUGAAGGAAGUAAUUAUUACUUUACCAUCUUAGCACUCCCUUGUUGCUUUUCAAGGGAAAUAAUUCCACACCCAAGCGAAUCAUUGCAGGGUCCGAAACUAGAAUCUUGUCAAUAGAACAGCAACUUUGCCCUCAGUCUCUAGUGGGAAUAGAAGAAAAUGGUUCUGGAAAAGGAAGAAUGGUUUAUACAAUACAAUUGUGAGUUGUGGCCAUGAGCAUGCUUAUUUGUUUUAAAAAUCAGCAUAAAUGGUUAAUAGAUUGUAUGGUGCAAAGAAUUAGAGAAUAAUUAUAUUUUAGCAUCAUGAAGUGCACUCCCACCCCUAUUAGGGAAUUGUUCUGGUAAUGUAUCUAGAUAUUUGUUUCCAUAAACACAGAUAAAUUAUAUGUACAGUAAGACAUUAAUUUUAUAAAAUAAUUUUUUUUGAGAUGGUGCCUCGCUCUUGUCACCCAAGCUGGAGUACAAUGGCCAGAUCUUGGCUCAAUGCAACAUCCACCUCCCAAGUUCAAGGGAUUCUCCUGCCCCAGCCUCUUGAGUAGCUGGGAUUACAGGUACCCACUACCAUGCCUGGCUAAUAUUUUGUAUUUUUGGUAGAGACAGGGUUUCACCAUGUUGGUCAGGCUGGUCUCCAACUCCUAACCUCUGUUGAUCCACCCUCCUUGGCCUCCCAAAGUGUGGGGAUUACAGGCUUGAGCCACCACACCUGGCCUAAAAUAAAUUUUUAAAAACUAGAAGGUAAUAUAUAAAAUGUUAAUUAAUUAAUUAAUUAAAUUUUUUUAGACGGAGUUUCGCUCUUGUUACCCAGGCUGGAGUGCAAUGGCACGAUCUCGGCUCACUGCAACCUCCACCUCCUGGGUUCAGGCAAUUCUCCUGCCUCAGCCU